UACGUAGGGUGCGAGCGUUGUCCGGAAUUACUGGGCGUAAAGAGCUCGUAGGUGGUUUGUCGCGUUGUUCGUGAAAUCUCACGGCUUAACUGUGAGCGUGCGGGCGAUACGGGCAGACUGGAGUACUGCAGGGGAGACUGGAAUUCCUGGUGUAGCGGUGGAAUGCGCAGAUAUCAGGAGGAACACCAGAGGCAAAGGCGGCUAGCUGGACAGUUACUGACACUCAACUACGAAAGCGUGGGGAGCAAACAGG
rnacentral:rRNA from 1 species